rnacentral:piRNA from 1 species
UCCUGAACCAAAAGGAGUGGUGACCAUUC